rnacentral:rRNA from 1 species
GACAGAGGGUGCAAACGUUGUUCGGAAUUACUGGGCGUAAAGCGCGUGUAGGCGGCUAAGUAAGUCGGGCGUGAAAUCCCACGGCUCAACCGUGGAAGUGCACUCGAAACUGCAUAGCUAGAGUCCUGGAGAGGAAGGUGGAAUGCUUGGUGUAGAGGUGAAAUUCGUAGAUAUCAAGCGGAACACCGGUGGCGAAGGCGGCCUUCUGGACAGUGACUGACGCUGAGACGCGAAAGCGUGGGGAGCAAACAGGGAUAGAAACCCUUGUAC